CUUCACCGACCCCAACCACAACGGCGUCUGCCGAUCCUGGCCGUAGGUGGCCAGCAACGCCUGCGCCUC
rfam:Streptosporangium subroseum strain CGMCC 4.2132 genome assembly, contig: Ga0079903_1123